ACGAAACGCUGGCGGCAUGCCUAACACAUGCAAGGUCGAACAGCUCUUGGGAUUUCGGUCUCAAGGGAGUGGCGCACGGGUGAGUAGCGCGUGGGAAACCUGCCCUGUUGUGGGGGAUAAACCGAGGGAAACUUCGGCUAAUACCGCAUGCGCCCCCGGGAGUGAUCCUGGGGGGGAAAGAUUUAUCGCAGCAGGAGGGGCCCGCGUCCGAUUAGCUGGUUGGUGGGGUAACGGCCUACCCAAGGCUGCGAUCGGUAGCUGGUCUGAGAGGAUGAUCAGCCACACUGGGGACUGAGACACGGCCCAGACUCCUACGGGAGGCAGCAGUGGGGAAUAUUGGACAAUGGGCGCAAGCCUGAUCCAGCAAUGCCGGCGUGAGUGAUGAAGGCCUUUAGGGUUGUAAAGCUCUUUCGCCCCGCGACGAUGAUGACGGUAGCGGAAGAAGAAGGCCCCGGCUAACUUCGUGCCAGCAGCCGCGGUAAUACGAAGGGGGCGAGCCGUUGUUUCGGAAUCACUGGGCGUAAAGGGGCGCGUAGGCGGCCCUUCUUGUCGCGUUGUGAAAGCCCCCGGGCUCAACCUGGGAACGGCGCGCCCGAGACGGGAGGGCUGGGAGUUCGGGAGAGGAGCGUGGAAUUCCCAGUUGUAGAGGUGAAAUUCGUAGAUAUUGGGAAGAACACCGGUGGCGAAGGCGGCCGCUCUGGACCGAGACUGACGCUGAGGCGCGAAAGCGUGGGGAGCAAACAGGAUUAGGAUACCCUGGUAGUCCACGCCGUAAACGAUGUGUGCUAGACGCUGGGGGGGCGUAGCCCUUCGGUGUCGCAGCUAAACGCUUUAGGCACACCGCCUGGGGAGUACGGCCGCAAGGUUUAAAACUCAAAAGGAAUUGACGGGGGCCCGCACAAGCGGUGGAGCAUUGUGGUUUAAUUAUUUCGACGCAACGCGAAGAACCUUACCAGCCCUUGACAUGUUCCCGUAUGGGUGGGGGGAGACCCCACUCCUUCGGUUCGGCCGGCGGGAGCACAGGUGCUGCAUGGCUGUCGUCAGCUCGUGUCGUGGAGAUGUUGGGUUAAGUCCCGCAACGAGCGCAACCCCCAUCUGCAGUUGCCAGCGGUUUGGCCGGGGCACUCUGCAGAAAACUGCCGGUGACAAGCCGGAGGAAGGCGGGGAUGACGUCAAGUCCUCAUGGCCCUUAUGGGCUGGGCUACACACGUGCUACAAUGGCGGGUGACAGAGGGCGGCGCGGGGGCGACCCCUGGCCAAUCUCAAAAAAGCCGUCUCAGUUCGGAUUGCUCUCUGCAACUCGAGAGCAUGAAGUCGGAAUCGCUAGUAAAUCGCGGAUCAGCGUGGCCGCGGUGGAAUACGUUUCCCGGGCCUUGUACACACACCGCCCGUCACAACCAUGGGAGUUGGCUUUACCCGAAGCCGGUGCGGCAACCGGGCAACCGGAGCUAGCCGACCACGGUCAGGCCAGCGACUGGGGUG
rnacentral:rRNA from 1 species